UCCCCAAUUUAGGUUUCCGCCGCUGCGCACACUUUCUCUGUGUAUUCGCAUUGUUUUAAGCCUUCACAAAUUUGGAAAUUGUGAUCUUUUCAUUGCCUUAUUUAUGAAGGUAAGUUUUGCUAGUGAGAUUAAUAAGGAAGAAUAUCUAAAAUUCUUAUAUACUUCAGAAUUCAAAAGUUUUGGCAUUGAGCACUUUUAGAAAUACUAUAUAAUGUAAUAUCCUGACCUCACCAGAUUCUGACUGCAAAUUAAGGUCAUACUUACUUCAAUGAUGUAUGCUGGAAAUCUUGAGAAAAAUUAGUUAAAAUUUCCAUAAGAACCUUGAAAGACAAAAUAUCUUAAAAGAAACAGACUGCCUUCAGCCUCAUGUGUGCAUAUGAACCCAGGCCUUGUACAUGCUGGGCGGGAUCUCUGUCACUGAGCCACACCCAGCAUCCUACCCUCAGAAGUCUGACAUUGAGUGGCAGAAGAGAGUAGAAAAUGAGCCAUAGAAUCGUUUUCAUUGAGGAAAAGGUUUAGAACUCAAAUAUGUUGCACUUGACUGACUUAAAAAAAUACUUUGGUUUUGCUUUACAAAAAAGAUGGGUAUUCUUUAAAAAGAUUUAAGAAAAUAUACCUGCCUUGACUUUUUAUGAGGAAAAGAAAGGGUGCUGUGACUGACUUUUAAGGCAGAACUAGCUCUGGAACUAGGAAGUCAUAAAAUGACUGGUAUGGACACUGAACUCAGAUUUGAAAAUAUAAAUAGUGAUUACAGAACUAAAUGCAAGUGGAAAAUAUUACUCUUAAAAAAUAUGUAGGGCAAAAUAAUUCAAUAAUGAUGACAUGAUUUUAAAACCCAAGAAGUGAAUCAAGGGAAUAUUAGAGACUUGCAAAUACAUAAGGAAUUUGGGGAUCAAAUCUGAAGAGAAAGGAUGAAGCCAGAGCCAUAAUUGAGCUCUGAAGCCCAUGCACAUGCCUUAUACCCAGACGGAAUCACUAAUGUAAAGUGCCUAAAAAUUUGAGUUUAAAAUCUGUACAAGGACUGUGAGUCUGCUUCAGUGGUAGAGCAACUGGCGUAGCAGUUCAAUCCCCAGCACCACAAAAAUAAACAAAAUUUAUGCAAGAUAUAAGAUCCUCAGAUCCAUAUAAAAUUAGCAGAUAGAAGCAUGAGACAGACCAAAUUUAAAAAAAAAAAAGUAUGCCAAACAAAGGAAAAAUGACACCUCCAGCCUGAGCUUUGGGAAAGAAGGGAGAGUGUUUCCUGAAAAUUCAAACAUUUGAAUCAUUUGAAUUUGGAGUUCAAAUUUGUAGUAUUGUAAGCCUGAAAAAAAUGAACGCCAGUUCUCUGGGAGAAUGGACCUUCACCCCAGGAUUCCCAGGAUUCUCACAAAUUCUGAUCAACUAAACAGGAGCUUCCAGGGAAACUUAGAAUAGUAUGAGGAAACAAGCCAUAGUGAAAGACAGCAGAAACAAGGUACAGCAGACAUUGUAAUGUUCAGACAGAGAAUAUAAGACAAACAUGUUUAAAGUAUCUAAAGAAAUAAGUAGGGAAUGAAAAGCAUGAGCAAGACAGAAAAGACAAGAAAGAUCAGACACGGAAAUCCAAACAUUCUACAUAGUAAAUGUAUUAAUAGUUAAUUCCAGUGGGUGAGUUCAACAGAUUUGACACAGAUGAGAGGAAACGAUGUUACAUUUUUCAAAACCAGACAGAAUGUGCACUGAUAAAGAAUGUGUGAGUAAUUCUCAAAUGGUGUGGUGGAAUUGAUAGGACUUUUAAAAGUUAUUGUAAACCUGGUACAGUUGCACACACCUGUAAUCCCAGUGACUUAGGAGGCUGAGGCAGAAGGAUCACAGGUUUAAGGCCAGCCUCAGCAACUAAAGGCCCUAAGCAAUUUAGCAAGACCCUAAGUUGCUUAGGGUCUUGUAGCUCCAUAGUAAAACACACCUUGGUUCAAUCCUUAACACACACAAAAAAAUUAAAAUAUUAAAAAAUUUUUUUAAAAAAAAUUGUAAUUCUAGGUCAGAACUAAAUCUCUUUUCAAAAAGAAAAAAAAAAAAGCAAUCCAAUGUUGUAUAAAAAAGCUCCAGAAAAGAUUAGAAGGAAUGAAACAAUACUUGAAGGAAUAUAUCUUCAGAGUGAGGAAGGGAAAUUUUCAAGACAGGAAAUACACACACACACACACACACUUGCAUGAAAUUGCAAUGUAUCAGAAAAAGAAAUGGCCAGAGAGAAUACUUAAAAGAUAAUGCAUUUAGGAAGAAAACAGAUCUCAACAACUUUGGAAGCAAAUAGUCAAUUGAAGAAUAUCUUCAGUGAACUGGUAGAAAAGAACUGCCAACCUACAACUGUACAUAGGCAAAACUCAUUUGAGUAGAAAGAAGAUGGAAUAAAUACAUUAAUAUAAAAAAACACAAAUUUUAAGGCAAAAACAUUAGAUCAGUCUAUCAGCUUUUGCUACAUAAUAAACUAUUCUAAAACAGUGAAUUGAUAACCAUUCUUGCAACUGGGAAGAUUGCCAAUUUGGCCCUAGUUGGUUGUUCCCUGGUUCCAGGGGCCAGAGCUACAUUGCAUUAAAGCUAACAAAGGCAGCAGUGCCAUUUUCCAAUGUCUUGUCUAGAAAGCCUUGCAGGUCAACAUGCUCAGAAUCGUUUGGUACAGAGGCAAAAGCCUAUAAUCACAGCUACUCUGGAGGCUGAAGGUUGAGGCUUGCAAGGUUGAGGCCAGCCUGGGAAAAUUAGUGAGACUGUCUCAAAAAGGGCUGGGCAUGUAGCUCCAUGGUACAACACCUUGGGAUUCAAUCCCCAGUACUGGGGAGGGGGGAUUCAAAACCUGUGAUAAAGAGAAAAUCUCAAAAGCAGCUAGAGAUUUUAAAGGAGGUCAGAUGUUUUUUUCUCAUAUUGAAGAUAGAAAUAAGUAAAUAAUAAAGGCGGGGGGAUCCCAUGAAAAUAGAAGGGAGAUAAGUGAAGCAGAGGAAGGGAAUUGAGGGGGAGGGAGGAGGCAGGGGACAAGGGAGGAAAUGCAGAAUGAAAUUGACCAAAUUAUGCUGUGUACAUACAUGAAUAUAGCACAGUAAACUCCACCUUUAUGUGUGUCUAUCAAUCACUGGCUAAAACGAAAAACAAUAAGUAAAUGGAAGAAAACCCUUAAAGUCAGAGGAAGGGAAGAGGGCAGGGAAAGGGGAAGCCCUGGGAUGGUGAUGGAGCAUGAGUAUGUCAAAAUGAACCCACUGUGAUGUGGAGCUGUAAUGCACCAGUAAAAACAUUUCUCACCAUACACGGAGGAGAAAAGAUCAGAAACAAUCUAAAUAAGAAGACAGAGGUACAACAUCUCUAAAGUACUGAAACAACUGUCAGCCUGGAAUCCUAAACCCAGUGUGCAAGCUGAUUUUAUGUGUCAACUUGGCGGGGCUGAGGGAUGUCCAGAUAGAAGAUAAAGGGUUUCUGGGUGUGUCCAUGAGGGUGUUUCUGGAAGAGAUUAGCAUUCAAGUCAGUGGGCUGAGUAAUGAUCUGCCCUCUCCAAAGUGGAUGGACACCAUCCAGUCCACUGAGGGCCAUUCUGAAGAGAACAGAGACAAGGAAGAAUGAAUUCUGUCUCUUUUGUGAGCUGGGGCUUCCAUCUUCUGCCUGCAGGCAUCAGAGCUACUGUUUCAGGAUUUAUACCAGCAGCUCUCCCUCUCACCUUCCCCCAGUUCUCUGGCCUUUGGCCUCAAACAGGAAUUACACUGUUUCUUAGGCUUUUGAACUCAGACUGAAUUACAUCACCAGAUUUCCCUUUUCUCCAGCUUGCAAAUGUCAUGUCAUGGAACUGCUUGGCCUCCAUAGUCUCAUGAGCCAAUUCUCAUAAGCAAUGUCCUCUUAUAUAUAUAUAUUUUAUGUAUCUUAUAUCUCUAUAUCUAUCAAUCAUCUAUCUGCCUAUCCUAUUGGUUCUGUUUCUCAGGAGAAACCUAAUACACCCAGUAUAAAUAUCUUUUUAAAACUGGCCAGGCAUGAUGGCAUAUGCCUGUAAUCCCAGUGGCUCGGGAGGCUGAGGCAGGAGGAUCCCGAGUUCCCAGCCUCAGCAAUGGUGAGGCACUAAGCAAGACCCUGUCUCAAAAUACAAAAUAGGGCUGGAGAUGUGGCUCAGCAGCCGAGUGCCCUUGAGUUCAAUCCUUGAUACCAAAAAAAAAAAAAAAGGAAGGUGAAAAAUAAACAGACAUUUUCACAUCUAGAAAAGUUGAAAGAACUCAUCACUAGCAGAUCACAGUACAUAAAUGCUUAAGGAAGUCUUCUAGACAGAAGAAAAAUGAUUCCAGGUAAAAUGAAUCUACACAAGGAAUGAAGAAUACUGAAAAUGAUGACUAUAUGGACAAAUAUGCCCCUUCUGGCUGGUCUAAAGGCAAAGGCUCCUACCAUGAAUCGCAUCUUAAGACUGGGAAAAGAAAGGAGGGAAGAAGGGAACAGGAGAAGAGAGAAGCAAAAGAAAACCUGCUAACGUGUCCUCAGGUCCCACAGCCUCGUGGCCAACGGUGGCCUGCAGAGGGAGAAGUCCCAAUGCUCACAAGCUUAUCAGGGAUGGGUUUUUUUCCCAGAAAAAUUAAUUUCUUCUCAAACAGGAGCAAAUAAUCACGUCAGAACAGAGUUCUACUCCAGCUCAGGUUUGGGAUAAUUGACUUUCUUCCAUUAGAAACAAAAUAACUUGCUCAAACCUUAUCAAAUCAUUUGACUAAGGCAGAGGUCUUCAAACAUUUGCUGACAUGAAAAUCACCUGGAGGGCUUGCUAGGCACUUCCAACUCUGCCUUGGGUUCCAGCAGAUGCAGCAAAUGCUGAUGUUGAAUGUGACCACAGUUACUAUGUAGUCAGGCCCCAGAACACAAGGGUUCUGCUUCCACAGAAAAGGUACUGACGGGAAAGUAGACACAACAGAAGGUACCAGCCUAGUUCCUGCCAGCACACAAUAGAUAAUACACACAAAACCAGCUGUCCUCAUCACAGCACAUGGUUGUGAGUGGUCACAGAUAGUGUGGUUAUCCCUCAUACGAUUAACAGUGUAGCCAAGAUGGUCACAAAAGGGAAAGUGCAACUUUUGUUCACCCUACCUUAGUGUUUUUCUUAUUGUCCAUCUUUACCAGAUGACAGUCAUCUAGUUCCUCAGUUACCUCUUUCUGCUUCUGCCUUCACCCGCACUUCCAUUUCUUUUAAUCGAGGCUUUCACUGAGUAAUCAGGCCCCUCAUCCUGCAAAACAAGCUGGUGCAAAUGGAAGAAAUUUACUAUAGCCUACACAGCCCUAUUCCCCUGCUGGGCAAAUUCGUUGUCUCCUUGGAGGGACAACUCCAACAGUGUUUCUUCUUUUGCAUGUGAAAUUGUCUAUUGACCCAUCAGCAAGAGAGAGUGGGGUGGGGAGCUAAAUGUAACCAGGUACCUCAUAAGCCUUUCUGAAAAUCAUUCUUCCUCUUCCGUAUCUGGUUGUUAUCAUUCCUGAUGUAGCAUGGAAAUGCCUCAGAAUGUCUCCCAGUGUUUGCAAUACCUUCUUUAUAUCCUCUGAUAAGUUCCCUAAUCAAUUGGUUUACUCUUUUGCCUAUUUUGUAUCAAUUCAGUUUCCCCAAAUCUUCUCAACUGUCUUUAAAUAGGUCAUGCUAUCAUUCCAUUACUCCAAUUACACUCCACUGUAAGCAAAAUAAAAACAAAAAUUCCAUUGUAUAUCAUGUUACUUGUUUGUUGUUGAAUAGAUGUUGUGUUUAGUAAAAGAUGGGGGCUUCCUAGUCAGUACCAAUGUCUCAGGGGGUGCACACUUUGCCCACAAUUCUUCUGACGUUGGACUGUGCUUUGGCAAGUCACUAAGGCCAAGCAAGGCACCUGCAGAUGCCAGCCCUGAGUGCCAGUGUAGGUAGUAGUCAAUGCUGUGUCCUUGUACAUUUCCCGUGU
rnacentral:lncRNA from 1 species